rnacentral:rRNA from 1 species
AUUGAACGCUGGCGGCAGGCCUAACACAUGCAAGUCGAACGAGUGGCGGACGGGUGAGUAAUGUCUGGGAAACUGCCUGAUGGAGGGGGAUAACUACUGGAAACGGUAGCUAAUACCGCAUACCAUCGGAUGUGCACAGAUGGGAUUGGCUAGUAGGGUGGGUAACGGCGCACCUAGGCGACGAUCCCUAGCUGGUGUGAGAGGAUGACCAGCCACACUGGAACGGAGGCACGGUCCAGACUCCUACGGGAGGCAGCAGUGGGGAAUAUUGCACGAUGGGCGCAAGCCUGAGGCAGCCAUGCCGCGUGUAUGAAGAAGGCCUUCGGGUUGUAAAGUACUUUCAGCGGGGAGGCGUUACCUGCAGAAGAAGCACCGGCUAACUCCGUGCCAGCCGCCGCGGUAAUAC